AGAGCAAGGUCAGCCCAGAGGAAAAGGAAGGUCAGCCCAGAGGAAAAGGAAGGUCAGCCCAGAGGAAAAGGAAGAGGAAGUUCAGCCUGGAGGAAGAGGAAGGUCAGCCUGGAGGAAGAGGAAGGUCAGCCCAGAGGAAAAGGGAGCGGAGAGGAAGGUCAGCCUAGAGGAAAAGGGAGAGGAAGUUCAGCCUGGAGGAAGAGGAAGGUCAGCCUGGAGGAAGAGGAAGGUCAGCCUGGAGGAAGAGGAAGGUCAGCCUGGAGGAAGAGGAAGGUCAGCCUGGAGGAAAAGGGAGAGGAAGGUCAGCCUAGAGGAAAAGGGAGAGGAAGUUCAGCCUGGAGGAAGAGGAAGGUCAGCCUGGAGGAAGAGGAAGGUCAGCCUGGAGGAAGAGGAAGGUCAGCCUGGAGGAAGAGGAAGGUCAGCCUGGAGGAAGAGGAAGGUCAGCCUGGAGGAAAAGGGAGAGGAAGGUCAGCCUAGAGGAAAAGGGAGAGGAAGGUCAGCCUGGAGGAAGAGGAAGGUCAGCCUGGAGGAAGAGGAAGGUCAGCCUAGAGGAAAAGGGAGAGGAAGGGCAGCCUAGAGGAAAAGGGAGAGGAAGGUCAGCCUGGAGGAAGAGGAAGGUCAGCCUAGAGGAAAAGGGAGAGGAAGGGCAGCCUAGAGGAAAAGGGAGAGGAAG